rnacentral:pre_miRNA from 1 species
UGAAACUUGCUUAGUACGGGCCUGAGUAAGGCCGUUCUUUGCAAGUUUUGUU